rnacentral:rRNA from 1 species
CAGUCGCCGCGGUAAUACGUAUGGUGCAAGCGUUAAUCGGAAUUACUGGGCGUAAAGCGUGCGCAGGCGGUUAUAUAAGACAGAUGUGAAAUCCCCGGGCUCAACCUGGGAACUGCAUUUGUGACUGUAUAGCUAGAGUACGGCAGAGGGGGAUGGAAUUCCGCGUGUAGCAGUGAAAUGCGUAGAUAUGCGGAGGAACACCGAUGGCGAAGGCAAUCCCCUGGGCCUGUACUGACGCUCAUGCACGAAAGCGUGGGGAGCAAACAGGAUUAGAUACCCCCGUAGUCCCUGUCUCUUAUAC